GGCUCAGGACGAACGCUGGCGGCGUGCCUAAUACAUGCAAGUCGAGCGGACCAAUUAGAAAGCUUGCUUUUUAAUUGGUUAGCGGCGGACGGGUGAGUAACACGUGGGUAACCUGCCCUAUAGACCGGGAUAACUCGCGGAAACGCGUGCUAAUACCGGAUAACACACCGAAGCGCAUGCUUCGGGGUUGAAAGAUGGUUCUGCUAUCACUAUAGGAUGGGCCCGCGGCGCAUUAGCUAGUUGGUGGGGUAACGGCCUACCAAGGCGACGAUGCGUAGCCGACCUGAGAGGGUGAUCGGCCACACUGGGACUGAGACACGGCCCAGACUCCUACGGGAGGCAGCAGUAGGGAAUCUUCCACAAUGGGCGAAAGCCUGAUGGAGCAACGCCGCGUGAGCGAAGAAGGUCUUCGGAUCGUAAAGCUCUGUUGUAAGGGAAGAACAAGCGCAGCAGUCACUGGCUGCGCCCUGACGGUACCUUACUAAAAGCCACGGCUAAGUACGUGCCAGCAGCCGCGGUAAUACGUAGUGGCAAGCGUUGUCC
rnacentral:rRNA from 1 species